AACGCACCUUGCGCUCCUUGGUAUUCCGAGGAGCAUGCCUGUUUGAGUGUCAUUAAGCUUCUCAACCAUAUCUAUUGCUGGAUGUGGCUUGGAUUUUGGGGGUUUUUUUUUGCAGGCUUCAAAAGAAAGUCGGCUCCUCUGAAAAGCAUUAGUGGUAUUAGAGUACCUUUGGUGUGAUAACUAUCUAUGCCAUUGUGUAUAUGACUACAUACUGCUUCUGAACUUGCGUUUUGCGCAGUUGACAAAUUUGACCUCAAAUCAGGUAGGAUUACCCGCUGAACUUAA
rnacentral:misc_RNA from 1 species